CUGCUGUGAUGACAACCACUUGGUUUCGCUUACUUCUGAUAUGUAGUGAUGUCAGUUUUCUCUUGGCUGUCUGAGCAG